GCCUGGCUAGUUCAGUCGGUAGAGCAUGAGACUCUUAAUGUUAGGGUCGUGGGUUCGAGCCCCACGUUGGGCG
rnacentral:tRNA from 1 species